UCUCACUUAAGCGACGCAGACUCUCGCUUAAGCGAGAGUUCGUGCAAUGGAGACCCUCUCUUGCCGCCGUUCUCGCCCAAGCGAGCUCAGAUGCUGCCAAUCUCGCCUAAG